GGAAACCUGCAGUCAGAGAAACGUUUCUCCCACAAAACGCUACGUCCAGAUGAACAGAAUUAACUUUUGGAGACAAAUAUAAACAUGUUCUCACAAGAGAUUUCGUUGAAGGAAAUAGAAUACAUACAUACUCUAAAUCUUGUGUCACAGUUGCACGUCAUGAAGAUUGAGAUUUUGCUCCAGAUCGACUUCACAGCAUCACACAGCUGGCGCAGAUUUGUCAGCUGUACAUCCACAUUUCCCCUUCUACCAAAUACCAAAGGUGUUCUACUGCUCUAAGUGAGAUCUGAGGACUCUGGAGUAUAACUGGAGUAUAUUGGAGUACAGCAUUUAUCCAGACCAUUCUUCAUAAACCUGAGAGUUGGGAGAGCACCCUGUCUGGCAUCAACAUCCGUCACAUUCAAAAUCACAUAAAUCAUAUUCUACCCCAUUGUGAUUCUUAGGCUGUCUUGGCCAUGUCCACCUGCCUAAAUGCUUUGAGUUGCUGACAUGGGAUUGGCCAACUGGUUAUUUGCUUUAACAAACAGUUGAACAGGCAUUACCAAAUAAAGUGGCUGUUGAAUGUAUGUCAUGUGACUGCAAUAUACAUUCACACUGGACAAUCCAGUAGUUGUGCUAUAUUCUCAGAUUGUAUAAAUUUUUUUUCUCAUGCAUAUAGUUUCAAACGUAUCAUUUUGCUUUUCUCAAUUUCAGCAAUUUUGUGAAUUUUAAAUAAAUCUUUGACAUUUCAUUAUGUCCCUACCAAUUCUACACAGCAGUGAAAAGAAAAAUCAAGUCCAAACAAAACCACUGAAAGGAAGCCUUUUGGAAUAAUGUGCAGGAUAUGCUUUGCUAAAACUAAAAUGUAUUAUUUGGGAACAGAUGAGGUGAUGCUUGUUUUGCAUUAGUAUUUAAUGUGUGUUGAUUUACAACAUGAAUUCGCAUCUUUUGCCUUAGUACUGAAAAACACAAAACACAGGAACAGAGUGCUGCACCGUGAAGUUUGAAACUGAGCCUCCAUGGAUAUCUGAAAAUGCUAAUGUAUCUCUCUGUACUGUAAUGUAAUUAUAACAAUGUUCAAACAAUCAUAUCUAAUGAAGCGCUUGGUCAGUACACAUUGUAAAAUUGUUAGCCUACAAACAUAAUUUGUUCUAAAGUAAAGAUUUUACUGUUAGACUCCAUAAGAAUAUAAAGUAUUCAGUUCAAUUCAAAGUUCGUCAAGCAUCCCUCUACUUUGCUCAUCAGGAUGGCCGUCUGAGUCUACCUGAGGUACUUGACAAGAUGGACUUCAUCAAGACCAGUACAAUCACCGACUAUGGAGGGAUGAGGGUGGAUGGCCGUGAUGAACUGUGACUUCAGUUUGGUCCCACAUACAAAUGUUUUACACAAAAAUCUGUGACUGGUGAAUAUUUUCUUAUCUGAAUUGAUUCAUCCUAUACAAAUUUAAAACACUUAAGGCCACACUUACCAUAUCUUACAAAACUGACUCA